UGGGGGAUAUUGCGCAAUGGGCGAAGGCCUGACGCAGCGACGCCGCGUGGGUGAUGGAGGCCUUCGGGUCGUAAAGCCCUGUCGAGGGGAACGAAACGGUCUCGACCCAAUACGUCGAGGCCCUGACGGUACCCCUAAAGGAAGCACCGGCUAACUCCGUGCCAGCAGCCGCGGUAAUACGGAGGGUGCAAGCGUUGUUCGGAAUCACUGGGCGUAAAGGGCGUGUAGGCGGUCCGCUAAGUCUGAUGUGAAAGCCCGGGGGCUCACCCCCGGAAGGGCAUUGGAAACUGGCGGACUCGAGUCCCGGAGAGGAAGGUGGAAUUCCUGGUGUAGCGGUGAAAUGCGUAGAUAUCAGGAGGAAUACCGGUGGCGAAGGCGGCCUUCUGGACGGUGACUGACGCUGAGACGCGAAGCGUGGGGAGCAAACAGGAUUAGAUACCCUGGUAGUCCACGCUGUAAACGAUGAGCACUAGGUGUCGUGGGUAUUGACCCCCGCGGUGCCGACGCUAACGC
rnacentral:rRNA from 1 species